AUGACAGCAAGGCUGGAUUGGAACCCAAAUCCCAGGACCCCUGGGCCUAUGCCCUGGCCAGAGAUCCCCCUGAGAAGCAAUUCAACUGCAAGGGCAAGAACACCGUGGCACCGGGAACCCAGAGGGGAAGUGGUGACAGGCACGGAAGACCAGAGCUCCCCACACUCACUCAUCUGUGAGAAACCAGAUGAGCGAGGAAGCUGGUUUGAGGAGAGCAGCCCCAGGAGCUCUGCCUGGGACACAGGGCCGGACCUGAGACACGCGAUCACCAGCACUCAAGGUCCAGCAAGGUCAGGGAGCUCAACCACCAGACAACCCAAAGACUUCUUGGCAAGCCCAGCA
rnacentral:lncRNA from 1 species